GGCCAAGUAGCUCAGUUGGUAGAGCAGAGGNNGAGGACUGAAAAUCCUUGUGUCGAUGGUUCGAUUCCGUCCUUGGCCACCA
rnacentral:tRNA from 1 species